GACGAACGCUGGCGGUGUGCUUAACACAUGCAAGUCGAACGGUAAGGCCCUUUCGGGGGUCCACGAGUGGCGAACGGGCGAGUAACACGUGAGUAACCUGCCCUCAUCUCUGGGAUAACAGUCGGAAACGGUUGCUAAUACUGGAUAUGAGCUUGCAAGGCAUCUUGUGGGUUGGAAAGAUUUUUUUGGUUGGGGAUGGACUCGCGGCCUAUCAGCUUGUUGGUGAGGUAGUGGCUCACCAAGGCUUCGACGGGUAGCCGGCCUGAGAGGGCGACCGGCCACAUUGGGACUGAGAUACGGCCCAAACUCCUACGGGAGGCAGCAGUGGGGAAUAUUGCACAAUGGACGGAAGUCUGAUGCAGCAACGCCGCGUGCGGGAUGACGGCCUUCGGGUUGUAAACCGCUUUCAAUUGUGACGAAGCUUUUUGUGACGGUAGCAGUAGAAGAAGCACCGGCUAACUACGUG
rnacentral:rRNA from 1 species